rnacentral:rRNA from 1 species
AACGAACGCUGGCGGCAGGCCUAACACAUGCAAGUCGAGCGCGCCCUUCGGGGUGAGCGGCGGACGGGUGAGUAACGCGUGGGAACGUGCCCUUUUCUACGGAAUAGCCUCGGGAAACUGAGAGUAAUACCGUAUACGCCCUUUGGGGGAAAGAUUUAUCGGAAAAGGAUCGGCCCGCGUUGGAUUAGGUAGUUGGUGGGGUAAUGGCCUACCAAGCCGACGAUCCAUAGCUGGUUUGAGAGGAUGAUCAGCCACACUGGGACUGAGACACGGCCCAGACUCCUACGGGAGGCAGCAGUGGGGAAUCUUAGACAAUGGGGGCAACCCUGAUCGAGCCAUGCCGCGUGAGUGAUGAAGGCCUUAGGGUUGUAAAGCUCUUUAAGCUGGGAAGAUAAUGACGGUACCAGCAGAAGAAGCCCCGGCUAACUCCGUG